GGAGCGCCUGGCUUUCACUGCCCAGCAUGGUGAGGGCUGGGAAAGAAGUCACCCUCAGAAUCUUAGGGAAAGGAAAAGAUGACAGCUGAGGCCAAACCAGGACUGUGAAUGUGCUUUGGCGUGUUCUGUAUGUAGACUUCUGUGCUUUGGCAUGUUCUGUAUGUAGACUCUGUGCUUUGGUGUGUUCUGUAUGUAGACUUCUGUGCUUUGGUAUGUUCUGUAUGUAGACUUCUGUGCUUUGGCAUGUUCUGUAUGUAGACUUCUGUGCUUUGGUAUGUUCUGAAUGUAGACUUCUGUGCUUUGGUGUGUUCUGUAUGUAGACUUCUGUGCUUUGGUGUGUUCUGUAUGUAGACUUCUGUGCUUUGGUAUGUUCUGUAUGUAGACUUUUGUGCUUUGGCAUGUUCUGUAUGUAGACUUCUGUGCUUUGGUAUGUUCUGUAUGUAGACUUCUGUGCUUUGGCAUGUUCUACAUUUCGUAGACUUCUUCUUGAACUUGCCAUCAUGGCUUUUCAAAUGUGUGCUGGUUUUAAAUCUCCACUUAUCUUAACUGAGAAUCGCCUGGUUGGGGAGACUGAGGAAAUUACCCAGAUUAGAUUGGUCCAUGAGCACAUCUGUGUGGGUUGUCUUGAUUGCUGGUUGAUGCAGGAGGACUCAGCCCACUGAGGCAGCAGUGGUCCUGGGCAGCAGAUUUCAUAAGGGAACAGUCUAAGCACGCGUCUGGGAGCAAGCCAGCAAGCAGUGUUUCUGGGUGGUUCCUGUUGUAUGUCCUUUGCUGUGAGUGACUCCCUGGUGGGAGACAAUGCUGUGUGGAGUAGCAGUGAAUCCUGCCUUCAAGUUCUGCUUGUGUUCCUGUCCUCCCUUCCUUCAGUGGCGGACUGUGACCUGGAAGGAUCCAGAAUCAGCAGAGCAGAACAGACCUAAUCCCCUGGAACCAUGAGCGGAGGUUUCUAUCUAACUUGAGCACAGCUGCACACAUCCUGCCCUUCUGUGAGGAGCCACAGAGGCGACUCAUCCGUAGAGGAACCAUUGCUUUGCGCCUUGAGAUUGUGGCUAAGGGCAGGAGCCCUGACCACAGCUUUCUAGGAGUAAAAGAGGAAAAGUACCCAGACUCAGAUUGUGUAGCCAGCAAAUAUCCUCUGGUUCUACGUUCAUAUACACCCGCCUGCCUCUACAUGAUGCUCUGUUGAUGUGGAGAACACCAAGGCCACUGGAGGAGAUCUAUGACCAUGGCAGUGAGGAGCUGACUGCUGAUGACCCCUACUCUAAGGCUCCACAGAGGUCCCUUUCGCAACAGCAUCUCUCCUCUCCCUCUCUUCCCAAUGGUAAAAUGCUGGGUCCUAGGCCCUUAGGGCAACCUACUA